GGUAAACUGUUUUCUCCUACAAAUUCAGGUACUGAAUCUUUUAUGGGAUAUCGUUUAUUGGAGGAAUGUUUAAUCUAUUUUAUCUUCUUUAGUUGUUAUUGAUUCAAUGACCAGAGACACCAUUGAAAGCUACUCAUCCUUCGAUUUGGCAGAUCAUCCUAUUUCUAGUAAUGAGAGGGGUGACCUAAUUGAAUUCGAGCUUGAUACUGGCUAGGUGAUAAAGGUGUGCAGUGAUUUUGAUCAAUGUAACCCUGGUGGAUUCAACACUUUGACACCUUCAAGAAGGGACAAAGAAGGUCACCAAGCAACAAAGAAGGGGCAAGAAUAUGUUAGCAGGUUCGGAGGUUGAUAAAGUCUGCAAAGCACUUGAGGACCCAAGAUGAGACGGAAUUCAAAGUGGAGGUUGAAGCAAUUGGGCAUGUGCGCCACAAGAAUCAGGUGUACUUAUUGGGUUAUCGUAUUGAGGGAACUCAUAGGUUGUUGGUGUAGGAGUAUGGCAACAAUUGAAAUUUAGAACAUGGCUCCAUGGAGGUAUGCGCCAACAUGGAUAUCUUAAAUAUAGUUUAGUUUAACAACUGUAAGUUCUAUGUGAUGCGUCAACAUGGAUAUCUUUUACAUGUGAUGCU
rnacentral:lncRNA from 1 species